rnacentral:lncRNA from 1 species
UAAAUCAACACUUAGUUUUAUUUAAUAAAUGUGAUUUUAUGAUUUAAGUAAAAUAUGUUUGAUUAUUCAAAAAACCUACGAGUUACGGGGCGGGUUUGGAUAUUUGUUGAUUUGGUGGACAAGGGUAUGGGUUUGAUUAUUCAAAACCCUGUGGGUUACGGAGCGGGUUUGGAUCGGAUUUCGAAAUUUGUUGAAAGGGUUUGGAUCAAGGUCGAUUCGCUCCAAACCCGCCCCAUUGCUAGGUCUAAUGCUCCCCCCGAAAAGAUGAAAAAUACGAAAGAUAUGGGGGUAUGAAGCUGACCUUGGGUUUUGAUCCUUUUUGAAAAGGAAAAUGGAGUGAGUUUUCAGCCUUAGCUAGCUUCUUUGAAGAGAUUGGUGGAGUUUUGGUGUUCUAGGAUCAUAAUCACAAAAAAUGAGGUGGUUAUGAGAGAUGAUCUUAGCAUAAAAUGGAAAUAAACAACGUAGAUGUGAAAUGGACUUACCAAGUUGAUGAUCUUUUGAAGAAUCCAUCUUAACACCUACUUAUACUUCACGAUUUUUGAAGAGAAAAGGAAACAAGUUCUUGGAGUUUAGAGAGAUAUAAGAGAGUUGAGUGUGUGAGUUUGGACGAUAAAUGAGAGAGAUGGUGGUGUUCUUGGCCGUAAAUAGAGGGAGGGAGGAGAGAGGUUGAAACCUAGAUAUUUAGUGGACAAUGCAACUCCUAGAUAUAUGAUGGGUAAGUGUAUGGAUACAUGCCAUGCAAAAAUGAUGUGUCACAAGCUAAUUAAUCCAUAUGUUAUCUUUAUUUUUUUUAAUAUAUAUAUAUAUNNNNNNNNNNNNNNNNNNNNNNNNNNNNNNNNNNNNNNNNNNNNNNNNNNNNNNNNNNNNNNNNNNNNNNNNNNNNNNNNNNNNNNNNNNNNNNNNNNNNNNNNNNNNNNNNNNNNNNNNNNNNNNNNNNNNNNNNNNNNNNNNNNNNNNAUAUGCCGAUCGACCCAAUAUGAGAGGGAAAGAAAGAAAAUUUUGGGCUUGGUUUUGAAUGCAACCGAGACACAUUGGCCCAAUAGAGAUUUUUCGGCCCAAGAAGGCCCAUUUAUGGGUUUGUGGCCCAAUGAAGCUAAAUGGAAAGGUUACUCGGCCCAAUAACUCGGAAUUAUUUCUCUUGGCCCAAUAACAUCUAGGAAAAUGUUUACGGCCCAUUAAGGCACACAACAGAUCUUUUGUCCCAAAAGAACCAAGUUGAGGGGUUAUUGGCCCAUUAGGGCCCAUUAAGAAAGGUUCGGUCCAUUAAGAGUGUUUUAGCCCUAAAAAUGCUAAGAUGGAGUAUUGAGUCCACUAUGACCUAAUAAAGGUAGUCAUGGUCCAACAGUUUAAUUGUGGUUAAGAAGGAAAAAUCUUAUUCCUCUCUUCCUUCGAAGAGUGCUCAAAUUGAUCUCACCAUAAAGAGCCCAAUAUCCCAGAAGAGGAAUAAUGUUGAGGGCACAGAUCUGAGCAUAGAAAAUCUCAAGAUAGAGGAGGCACUCAAGAAGCUGGUCUCUUUCUCUCAAGCUGUAUGUAUUCCUUGAAUUUUGGUCUUUUCCUUUUGUUUUUUGAUUUUGCUUUUGCUGAUGAUGUUCUUGUUUCAUGUCUCCGACCACAUCUCUUUAUCAACUGUUGAUUUGAAGAUCAGGGUUGAGAAGGCUGAGCGCGCUUUGAAAGAGCAGGAGGAGGUAUGAAAGGCAGCCAAUGAGGAUCUGUUGAUGAGGGUGGAACUGCGGACCAAAGAGAAAUCUGAGAAGGUGGAGGAGCAUGUCGUUGGUAUUGAGGAGGUUAUUGUUGAGGUUAAAAUUAAUAUUGGUAUGGGCAUUUUGGAGGCAAAAAUCAAGCUUGUAGAGGAAGUAGAGAACGUAGGAUCCUGGAAUGUAGUCGGUUGGAGUAAAGCCUUGGCUAAGUUGAUUGGCAAGCCUGUUAAUUCUAUUUAGGAUCGUGUAGAGAAGAAGAAGAGAAAAGAGGAGGAGAAAAAGAAGAAGAAGGAGGAGAUGAAGAAGACGAAAGAGACAAAGGUGACUUGGGUGGUGAUGAUCAAACCAUGGUUUAGGUCUGAUUAGGUUUAAAAACAAUUUUAUUAUUUUGGUAUGUAAGACAAUAUUUUCCCUUUUUUGUGGGGUUGACAGGAAACCCCUUUUAUUUUAUGCUUUGGUUGCUUAUAUUAUCUUUCUGCAUGGUUGAUGUGGUUGUAGGAUAAAAGUAGGUUUUGAUAAGUAUUUCCAGAUGAUUAAGAUCCUAAAAGGUUCAGGUUUUACAAGAACUUUUUGGGAUCCUAAUAAUUUGAGAUAACUAAUCAAGAUCAUAAAACAGUUAAGAUCCUUAGAAAAGAUAAGACUUCAGUUAUAGUAUAGGAGAGAAUCCUUUUAACGAAAAUAUUUUUUAGGAAAUAAGAUCAAUACACAAACUCCCGCUCCCCCUCCAAAAGAUGUUGGUUAUAACUACAGGCUACGAUUGUAUACUCAAUAGGUGACAACUGAAACGUCUCACUAGAUUCUUGAUCGAAUUUAUGCAGAAAAGAAAGGAAAACAUAUAAGGUAUAUUCUAGGCCCAAUAAACAUGUAAGUGGAUAACUAGGGCCCACUAAGCAUGUAUAUUAUUUCCAGGCUCGAAAGGAAUAUGAAUACAUACAUAUAUAUAUANUCGAACUCAAGUAUAAGAGCUUUUAGCAUGAUAAAAAUAAUUUCUUGUUUUUGACGUUUCUUUCCCUGGUUUAAGAAAAAUUAUAGAAAAAUCAUCGUAAGUCGAGACUUAGAUCUGUAAACUCUGAGAGUUUGUAAAUGAGUGUACUUUAUUCAUAAUUUUUAUUAAGAUUUUUAAUGUCCUCAAACCAGUGUGAAAAUGUUCAUCUUCACCGACUGGUCCGAAAUCAUUCCUGAAAUGAUAGGCAGUUUUGUAAAAAUCGCCAAAAAUUGUAGAAAAUCGUAUGAAUGUGUGAGAGUAGUCAUUUUAAAGGUAUAAACCUGAACGUUUUGCAUGUAAAACAUUUUUGAAAAAUAUUAUAAUUAAGGUGGUCAAAACAGUCCGUAAUUAGUCCAAAACGUUUCUGUUAAAAGCUGAUCUUUGAGUUUAGGUUAUAGAUGUUUGAACACAACACUUUUUUUUGCUAUUUUGAGUGUAUAAUCUCAGACCUACAAGUUUACCUGUAAUAUAUAAGACAACACAUACUUUUCUCAUGGUGUUUAUGAAGAUCUAAGUGAUAAACUUCAUGUUCAAGUAAAUAUCCAAAAGUUAAACACAUAACACAAAGGUACAUGCAGAUAUCCAACAUUUAAACGAGAGUUGACUUGUAUCCUCCCUAGGUCUGGAAAUGGAGCGGAUUUUGACCCUGAUCCGAUCCAAACCCUUAAUAGUUAUACGGGUUUGGAGCAUAGUUUUUGAUCCGUUUACCUGUUAACGACCCGUACCCGCUAACCCUUUUAUUAAAAGGGUCAGGUAUGGAUCAUCGCCGAUCUGAUCUGUUUAUAACCCACCCCAUAUAAAUUUUAGAAUUAUACAUUUAUAUUUUAUAUUGCCUAAAGUUACUAAGAGGGGAUGCCGCCUACUACUGAAAGACCACAUUAAAUUCCAAUCGGAAUUCCAAAGAGAAAAGGACAAAGACUAAAAUGUUUUUACAUAGGACUCGAGGAAUCAACUUCUAGACUUCUAGUCUUCUCCCAAGAGUCAUGAUUUCAUUUCAUUUAUAUUUCAUCAUGUAAUCACUAAUUUCAUUUAUAAAUCAAUAAGUUCAUUUGUCAAUCGGAAGAAAGUUUGUAAUUCCUAUUCUCUAUCAAUGCAAUCGACGGUCAAAAACCAAUCGGAAGAAACAAAAAUAAUGAUUUUAAUUCCAAUAGAAAGUCCUCGAGUACAUAAUGUGUUUUCUAAAUCAACACUUAGUUUUAUUUAAUAAAUGUGAUUUUAUGAUUUAAGUAAAAUAUGUUUGAUUAUUCAAAAAACCUACGAGUUACGGGGCGGGUUUGGAUAUUUGUUGAUUCGGUGGACAAGGGUAUGGGUUUGAUUAUUCAAAACCCUAUGGGUUACGGAGCGGGUUUGGAUCGGAUUUCGAAAUUUGUUGAAAGGGUUUGGAUCAAGGUCGAUUCGCUCCAAACCCGCCCCAUUGCCAGGUCUAAUCCUCUCCCCGAAAACAUGAAAAAUACGAAAGAUAUGGGGGUAUGAAGCUGACCUUGGGUUUUGAUCAUUUUUGAAAAGGAAAAUGGAGUGAGUUUUCGGCCUUAGCUAGCUUCUUUGAAGAGAUUGGUGGAGUUUUGGUGUUCUAGGAUCAUAAUCACAAAAAAUGAGGUGGUUAUGAGAGAUGAUCUUAGCAUAAAAUGGAAAUAAACAACGUAGAUGUGAAAUGGACUUACCAAGUUGAUGAUCUUUUGAAGAAUCCAUCUUAACACCUACUUAUACUUCACGACUU